GAGGAUUUAGCUUAACUAAAGUGUCUGGUUUGCGGUCAGAAGAUGUGAGAUGUGGUCUUGCAAUCCUUA
rnacentral:tRNA from 1 species